rnacentral:lncRNA from 1 species
GCUGGAGCUCGGGGACCCAGGAGUCUGCCUUUUCUCCCAGGGUGUACAGAAUGCUAAACCAGUAGUAGAAACAAAAGCUGGGCCCAGGGCUGCCUCCGCGGCUCUGACCACUACCCUUUCCCUCCUCUACCAGCUCCUCCCAUGAGGAGACCCCCAGUUCCCACCCUCUUUAUGGACAUGGAGAAUGCAAGUGGCCCGGCUGUGAGACCCUGUGUGAAGACCUGGGCCAGUUUAUCAAACACCUCAACACAGAGCAUGCUUUGGAUGACCGGAGCACGGCCCAGUGCCGCGUGCAGAUGCAGGUGGUCCAACAGCUGGAGAUCCAGCUGGCCAAGGAGAGUGAGAGGCUGCAGGCCAUGAUGGCACAUCUGCAUAUGCGACCUUCCGAGCCCAAGCCCUUCAGCCAGCCAGUGAGUACCC